rnacentral:rRNA from 1 species
AUAACCUCAUACGGCGUAAAACGUGACUAGAAGCCAAUUUUAAAUGCGGGACUCACAACCCAGAUAAAGCCGUAAAACGCACACAUCAAAAGGAAUCUCUCCACGCCCCCAUUAACAAAUCACCUUUGACUACACGAAAUCUGUGACACAAACUAGGAUUAGAUACCCUAUUAUGCCCAGACAUAAACACAGGCAGCAAGCUUAACCCACCAUGCCCGCCAGAGAACUACACGCACCCUAGCGUAAAACUCAAAGGACUUGACGGUGUCUCAUACCGCCCUAGAGGAGCCUGUCCUAUAAUCGAUACUCCCCGCUACACCUCACCCCCCAUUGCAAAGCUUCAACCUAUAUACCGCCGUCGCCAGCUCACCUUACAAAAGCCAAACAGUGUGCAAAAUAGUUCCCCACUAAAAAGUCAGGUCAAGGUGUAGUUAAUUGGGGGGACAGCGAUGGGCUACAUUUUCUAGCAAAGAAGCCCCCAGCAAUAUGAAAUAAUGCCAUAAGACGGAUUUAGCAGUAAAUAGAGCAAGAGCCGCUCAAUUGAAGCUCGCCCUGAGACGCGUACACACCGCCCGUCACCCUCCUCAGAAACCAAAAAUCAAAAUAACUAAGCCCCUCCCCCAAAUCUACCAGAUGAGGCAAGUCGUAACAUGGUAAGUGUACUGGAAAGUGCACUUGGCAAAAC